rnacentral:rRNA from 1 species
GACGAACGCUGGCGGCGUGCCUAAUACAUGCAAGUAGAACGCUGAAGGAGGAGCUUGCUUCUCUGGAUGAGUUGCGAACGGGUGAGUAACGCGUAGGUAACCUGCCUGGUAGCGGGGGAUAACUAUUGGAAACGAUAGCUAAUACCGCAUAAUAGUAGAUGUUGCAUGACAUUUGCCUAAAAGUUGCAAUUGCAUCACUACCAGAUGGACCUGCGUUGUAUUAGCUAGUUGGUGGGGUAACGGCUCACCAAGGCGACGAUACAUAGCCGACCUGAGAGGGUGAUCGGCCACACUGGGACUGAGACACGGCCCAGACUCCUACGGGAGGCAGCAGUAGGGAAUCGUCGGCAAUGGACGGAAGUCUGACCGAGCAACGCCGCGUGAGUGAAGAAGGUUUUCGGAUCGUAAAGCUCUGUUGUAAGAGAAGAACGAGUGUGAGAGUGGAAAGUUCACACUGUGACGGUAUCUUACCAGAAAGGGACGGCUAACUACGUG